GACGAACGCUGGCGGCGUGCUUAACACAUGCAAGUCGAACGGAAAGGCCCUGCUUUUGUGGGGUGCUCGAGUGGCGAACGGGUGAGUAACACGUGAGUAACCUGCCCUUGACUUUGGGAUAUCUUCAGGAAACUGGGGCUAAUACCGGAUAUGAGCUCCUGCUGCAUGGUGGGGGUUGGUAAGUUUCGGCGGUUGGGGAUGGACUCGCGGCUUAUCAGCUUGUUGGUGGGGUAGUGGCUUACCAAGGCUUUGACGGGUAGCCGGCCUGAGAGGGUGACCGGCCACAUUGGGACUGAGAUACGGCCCAGACUCCUACGGGAGGCAGCAGUGGGGAAUAUGGCACAAUGGGCGGAAGCCUGAUGCAGCAACGCCGCGUGCGGGAUGACGGCCUUCGGGUUGUAAACCGCUUUCGCCUGUGACGAAGCGUGAGUGACGGUAAUGGGUAAAGAAGCACCGGCUAACUACGUG
rnacentral:rRNA from 1 species